rnacentral:rRNA from 1 species
AUGGUACGAGAAAAUAGAGCCCGCUUUCAGCCCGUGCGAGAGGUACCCUCCUGCGCCAAAUUGGUUUCCAAGGCACCAAAAUUGUCUCCAAAUUGCCACCUCCCAAACCUAGAUGCCAAGCCUGCCGCCGCCGCCCGCUGCGAGAUGGCGGGGUCCAAAAGAACAACUGCACCGACACCUCUGGAGUUCCCAUGCCUGCCGACUCAGCUUGUCUGGCCGCCAACUGCUCAGCCCCUCCCACUGCUGGCCAUCCCUUCCAUCUUUGGACCCCACACCUGGUUACCACCGCACCCACCGCAGUCCAUGGCAGUCUCCUCUCUACCGUGCUGGCUCAACGGGGUACAGCAACCAUGA